AUUGAACGCUGGCGGUAUGCUUAACACAUGCAAGUCGAACGAUGAGAAAGAGCUUGCUCUUUCGAUUAGUGGCGGACGGGUGCGUAACGCGUAGGAAUCUACCUAUUAGUGGGGGACAACUUAGGGAAACUUAAGCUAAUACCGCAUACGCCCUACGGGGGAAAGAAGGGGAUCGCAAGACCUUUUGCUAAUAGAUGAGCCUGCGUAGGAUGAGAUGGUUGGUGGGGUAAAAGCUCACAAAGGCGACGAUGCUUAACUGGUUUGAGAGAAUGAUCAGUCACACUGGAACUGAGACACGGUCCAGACUCCUACGGGAGGCAGCAGUGGGGAAUAUUGGACAAUGGGCGAAAGCCUGAUCCAGCAAUACCGCGUGUGUGAAGAAGGCCUUAGGGUUGUAAAGCACUUUCAAUUGGAAGGAAAACCUCGAAGCUAAUACCUUCGAGUUUGACAUUACCUUUAGAAGAAGCACCGGCUAACUCCGUGCCAGCAGCCGCCGUAACAC
rnacentral:rRNA from 1 species